rnacentral:rRNA from 1 species
ACUCCUACGGGAGGCAGCAGUGGGGAAUAUUGGACAAUGGGCGCAAGCCUGAUCCAGCCAUGCCGCGUGAGUGAUGAAGGCCUUAGGGUUGUAAAGCUCUUUUGUCCGGGACGAUAAUGACGGUACCGGAAGAAUAAGCCCCGGCUAACUUCGUGCCAGCAGCCGCGGUAAUACGAAGGGGGCUAGCGUUGCUCGGAAUCACUGGGCGUAAAGGGCGCGUAGGCGGCCUUGUAAGUUGGGGGUGAAAGCCCGUGGCUCAACCACGGAAUUGCCUUCGAUACUGCUUGGCUUGAGUGUGGUAGAGGUUGGUGGAACUGCGAGUGUAGAGGUGAAAUUCGUAGAUAUUCGCAAGAA